rnacentral:lncRNA from 1 species
UUGAUUUUUGACAAUUGGAUUCAGAAUUUUAUGAAAAACAUUUUUUGAUCAUGUUAAGCUUAAUCAGUAACUUUGAUCUUCCUUUAUGAACUUGUAAAAUUAUUCACACAUUUCUUCAUUUUCCACUUAUGCAGACCCAUCCAUGACGUGAAGAUACUCCGGACAUCAGUCAAGGAUUGAGAUGUGUUGCGUGUUAUGAUGUGAAGAAAUUGAAGUUUUAUUAUCAAUUCCUAAUAUAGUUAUGACUGGAAAAAUGACAUGGCAUAUUUGGCUUCAUGAUUAAGCACAAGAAUUGUAUUUUUUUGGUAUUAGUUGGUCACACAGUGAACUUAAAACCAUGUGUAUGAGUAUCUUUUUAGAACUGUUUCUGUUUCUGUUUCUAUUUUACAAGAGUGACAUCAGUAUCGUAUUGUAAGCAACAUUCAUUUACCACUGAAUCAUGCACCACCACCAAUCUAAUGGUGCAAGCUUCACACUGAAUCAUGAAACAAUGUCAAUCGUUCGAUCGUUCGA